rfam:Xenopus laevis strain J chromosome 4L, whole genome shotgun sequence.
UUUAAGACCUGAUGAUCUCUAUUACCGCCCCAGUCUGAUUUAUCUGUGACUGAUGGUAUCUUCUGACUGUC